rnacentral:rRNA from 1 species
AAUACAGAGGUCCCAAGCGUUGUUCGGAUUCACUGGGCGUAAAGGGUGCGUAGGUGGCCGGGUAAGUCUGAUGUGAAAUCUCCGAGCUCAACUCGGAAACUGCAUCGGAUACUAUCCGGCUCGAGGGUUGGAGGGGGGACUGGAAUUCUCGGUGUAGCAGUGAAAUGCGUAGAUAUCGAGAGGAACACCAGUGGCGAAGGCGAGUCCCUGGACAACUCCUGACGCUGAGGCACGAAAGCUAGGGGAGCAAACAGGA